UACGAAGGGUGCAAGCGUUACUCGGAAUUACUGGGCGUAAAGCGUGCGUAGGCGGUUUGUUAAGUCUGUCGUGAAAGCCCUGGGCUCAACCUGGGAAUUGCGAUGGAUACUGGCAAGCUAGAGUACGGUAGAGGAUGGUGGAAUUCCCGGUGUAGCAGUGAAAUGCGUAGAGAUCGGGAGGAACACCAGUGGCGAAGGCGGCUACCUGGACCAGCACUGACACUGAGGCACGAAAGCGUGGGGAGCAAACAGG
rnacentral:rRNA from 1 species